UACGGAGGGAGCUAGCGUUGUUCGGAAUUACUGGGCGUAAAGCGCGCGUAGGCGGCUUUGUAAGUUAGAGGUGAAAGCCCGGGGCUCAACCCCGGAAUUGCCUUUAAGACUGCAUCGCUUGAAUCCGGGAGAGGUGAGUGGAAUUCCGAGUGUAGAGGUGAAAUCGUAGAUAUUCGGAAGAACACCAGUGGCGAAGGCGGCUCACUGGACCGGCAUUGACGCUGAGGUGCGAAAGCGUGGGGAGCAAACAGG
rnacentral:rRNA from 1 species